UCUGCUGAUGGCAAGUAAUCUUUGUGGCCUGAUUUUUAUUUUAUGAACAUCCCAAGCAUUUUUCUGAGGAC